GGGGGCGAACAGGGUUCGACCGGAUAGGCGAAGCGCAAGUGGCGUGUCGUGGUUGAUCAGCAGGCCACGUUAAAAGCUGAUCGCAUUUUUAAUUGCCAAUGGCAAUUUCGCUUUGGCUGCCUAAUUAAAGGCAACCCGGGCUAAGGGCUGCUGUCGCGGUGGCCCGGACGUCCGUCACCAAUCGCGACUCGCUGCCAGUCACCGCCGGGCACGCUGGCAGCUAAACAAGUUCUCGGCUAGCUCCGCGGUAACCUGGUCGACUGGGUGACCGAAGGUGCGAAAUUAAAUCAGACGACUACACACGUAGAGGCUUGCGUAGAGAUAUCACGGGACGCGGGUUCGAUUCCCGCCGCCUCCACUC
rnacentral:tmRNA from 1 species